AUUGAACGCUGGCGGCAGGCUUAACACAUGCAAGACGAGCGGGCGAGGUUGCUUCGGUAACUGAGCUAGCGGCGGACGGGUGAGUAAUGCUUAGGAAUCUGCCUAUUAGUGGGGGACAACAUUCCGAGAGGAAUGCUAAUACCGCAUACGCCCUACGGGGGAAAGCAGGGGAUCUUCGGACCUUGCGCUAAUAGAUGAGCCUAAGUCAGAUUAGCUAGUUGGUGGGGUAAAGGCCUACCAAGGCGACGAUCUGUAGCGGGUCUGAGAGGAUGAUCCGCCACACUGGGACUGAGACACGGCCCAGACUCCUACGGGAGGCAGCAGUGGGGAAUAUUGGACAAUGGGCGAAAGCCUGAUCCAGCCAUGCCGCGUGUGUGAAGAAGGCCUUUUGGUUGUAAAGCACUUUAAGCGAGGAGGAGGCUACUUGGAUUAAUACUCUAGGAUAGUGGACGUUACUCGCAGAAUAAGCACCGGCUAACUCUGUGCCAGCCGCCGCAGUAACAC
rnacentral:rRNA from 1 species